rnacentral:rRNA from 1 species
GACGAACGCUGGCGGCGUGCUUAACACAUGCAAGUCGAACGGAAAGGCCCUGCUUUUGUGGGGUGCUCGAGUGGCGAACGGGUGAGUAACACGUGAGUAACCUGCCCUUGACUUUGGGAUAACUUCAGGAAACUGGGGCUACUACCGGAUAGGAGCUCCUGCUGCAUGGUGGGGGUUGGAAAGUUUCGGCGGUUGGGGAUGGACUCGCGGCUUAUCAGCUUGUUGGUGGGGUAGUGGCUUACCAAGGCUUUGACGGGUAGCCGGCCUGAGAGGGUGACCGGCCACAUUGGGACUGAGAUACGGCCCAGACUCCUACGGGAGGCAGCAGUGGGGAAUAUUGCACAAUGGGCGGAAGCCUGAUGAAGAAACGCCGCGUGCGGGAUGACGGCCUUCGGGUUGUAAACCGCUUUCGCCUGUGACGAAGCGUGAGUGACGGUAAUGGGUAAAGAAGCACCGGCUAACUACGUG